AGAGUUUGAUCAUGGCUCAGGAUGAACGCUAGCGGCAGGCUUAAUACAUGCAAGUCGAGGGGCAGCAUGACUGUAGCAAUACAGUUGGUGGCGACCGGCAAACGGGUGCGGAACACGUACAGAACCUUCCUUCGAGCGAGGAAUAGCCCAGAGAAAUUUGGAUUAAUACUCCAUAGCAUAUUGAUAAGGCAUCUUAUUAAUAUUAAAGAUUUAUCACUUGAAGAUGGCUGUGCGGCUGAUUAGGUAGUUGGCGGGGUAACGGCCCACCAAGCCUGCGAUCAGUAACUGGUGUGAGAGCACGACCAGUCACACGGGCACUGAGACACGGGCCCGACUCCUACGGGAGGCAGCAGUAAGGAAUAUUGGUCAAUGGACGAAAGUCUGAACCAGCCAUGCCGCGUGGAGGAUGAAGGUCCUCUGGAUUGUAAACUUCUUUUAUCUGGGACGAAAAAAGGCUUUUCUAAGUCGUCUGACGGUACCAGAGAAUAGCCCGAUCUGGC
rnacentral:rRNA from 1 species